UACGUAGGGGGCAAGCGUUGUCCGGAUUUAUUGGGCGUAAAGAGCGUGUAGGCGGCCAGAUAGGUCUGUUGUGAAAACUCGAGGCUCAACCUCGAGACGCCGAUGGAAACCAUCUGGCUAGAGUCCGGAAGAGGAGAGUGGAAUUCCUGGUGUAGCGGUGGAAAUGACGCAGAUAUCAGGAAGAACACCCGUGGUUAAGGCGGCUCUCUAGUACGGUACUGACGCUGAGACGCGAAAGCGUGGGGAGCGAACAGG
rnacentral:rRNA from 1 species